rnacentral:rRNA from 1 species
AGAGUUUGAUCAUGGCUCAGAACAAACGCUGGCGGCGUGCUUAAUACAUGCAAGUCGAACGUGAUUGAGGGGGCAACUCCUCAUGAAAGUGGCGAACGGGUGAGUAACACGUAAAUAAUCUGCCCCUAAGUUCGGGAUAACCUUGCCAACGCGAGGCUAAUACCGGAUGUGAUCAUGGAAACGCAUGUUUUUAUGAUUAAAGGCGCAAGUCGCUUGGAGAUGAGUUUGCGGCCCAUUAUGCUAGUUGGCGGGAUAACAGCCCACCAAGGCUGCGAUGGGUAGCCGGCCUGAGAGGGUGUACGGCCACAUUAGGACUGAGAUACGGCCCAGACUCCUACGGGAGGCAGCAGUAGGGAAUUUUGCGCAAUGGACGAAAGUCUGACGCAGCAACGCCGCGUGAAGGAUGAAGGUUCUCGGAUUGUAAACUUCUGUUAAGUGGGAAGAAAAGCUCGCAAGAGUAUGACGGUACCACUUGAGUAAGCACCAACUAACUACGUGCCAGCAGCCGCAAUAAUACGUAAAAUGCAAGCGUUGUUCGGAAUUACUGGGCGUAAAGAGAGCGUAGGUGGGAUUAUAAGUUAGGAGUUUAAUCUAUGGGCUCAACCCAUAGUCUGCUCUUAAUACUGUGGUUCUUGAGUAUAAGAAAGGAUGAUGGAAUUCCAGGUGUAGCGGUGGAAUGCAUAGAUAUCUGGAAGAACACCAGUAGCGAAGGCGGUCGCCUGGCCCAAUACUGACACUGAGGCUCGAAAGCUAGGGGAGCAAACAGGAUUAGAUACCCCAGUAGUCC